AGACUUACCUGGCAGGGGAGACACCAUGAACAGGCAGGUGGUUUUCCCAGGGUGAGGCUCAUCCCUUGCAUUCCAGGGCGUUUGUACUUACAUGAGUACAAAACACCUUGCACCUGGAACCAGAAGGAACAUCACAGUUUGCAGAGUUAUUC
ensembl:snRNA U1 U1 spliceosomal RNA